CCUAGGUAAACUGCGAAGCUUGUUGAACAGAUUUAAUGGAUCGUGCAUGAGUCCAAAAUGAGCAUCUGGAUCACCAAUUUGUGAAAGUUUAACAUGAGAAAAGCCAAGAGAUGGCAGGAGAUGAUCAGGCCAAUCGCUGUAGAAAUGGAAGGUGGAAUUGGAAAGUGUGGUUGACGGUUUGUUCAUAAAAUCCGCCAGAAGCACCGUGUGAGUAAGCGAGCACUUGUCUGCUAUGGUUUCAAGUACUUGCGUGGCCUCAGAGUGGGUUAAGUAGUAGAGGAUGCCUUCCAGAACCCACACUGUGUUCUUCUCCGGCACAAACCCGGAUGUUUGAAGUUUUUCGAGCCAAUUAUUGCUUCUGAUAUCGGCCGCCACUCUAGUUAUGAAUUUUGCUGUCAUCAUUAGACACUGGUGAUCGUUUGUAGAGUCCAUUGCUGCUUUCAGGAGAGUGGCUUUUAUUUGCAGGACAUCAGGAAAAUCAACUUCGAACACAUUGCUUUCCUUCAAGCAACUCAGUCGGAAUUCAUCCAGUAGACUGGUAAAGCAAUGUAAAUGAACAAGUCAUCUAGUCUCAAAAACUACGUAUUACACAAAUAUGUCCCAACAUCAUACAUCACAGGCACGAAGUUCACCUUGAUAUACACUGCAUUGGUUAAAAAAGUGCUGGUAACCAAAAUAUUGUGAUAGGGUAGUUACCAACCUGCCCCAAGAAAAACUACUUGUGCUUCUCCAUCAUUGAACGAAUGAAGUGCUGCUUCAAGCUUUGAAUCAAACCAGAGUGUUCGAACUGCGAGAAUGACACCAGAUAUUUCUCGCGCCUUGUUGACGCAGUCUUUCUUUAUCUUCUCAUGGAAACUUUUGAGGUACGACUCUCCUGCAAGUAUGUCUGCCAGGGGGUCAUGAAUGACAUGAUUCCACAAGGCUCUCCCAGCUGCCGUCUGGCAACCCGACCGCUGAAGAGGAUCCCAUUCGUUCUCAAUGGUUGCAUGAACCUGUCGAACGGUGUCUGUGGACAACAAGUCCGGAAGCUUGAACUCCGGCCACAUAGGGAACUCAGGUGAGCCAUUGUCUUGACUCGACAUGGUCUUUAAAUUGCACUGAAACACCUUUAAAGUGGACGGAAGUUUGGAAACUAAUAGAAAGGAAUGAAGAACAAGGUGGGAUUCAAAACGUUAGGCUGCAGCAGGUGAUAGAGGGAUAAGAAAAGAGAGCCACACAACACAAACCCAUAAGGGUUGGAGAAAAUGGCUUAUAAGUCGCGUCCUGCCUUUUUUUUAUUGGCCUUUAUAGAAAAAAGGAAGGUUGCAAUGCAGUCCACGGCUACCACAAUUUUAUGAGCCUUCUGUUUUUGGUCUACAGGCAUUGUGUUAUUAUCUGGUAUCAGUGGCUCCCAGGAAGUGAUAUCCGACAGGGGCACCCUGGCUCCUAAUGAGGGAAGUCCAAUGCAGUCCAGUGGUUUUAUAACAAGUACUCAUUUGUUUGGUUUUCGUUGGGCACACGACAAAGGCGUCAUUUCGUGGUACGUGUUUGCUUGCGUUGCACAAGGGGGGAGGCAAUUGGCGUUAGGCCCCGAAUUGAGUGGCUAUCAGUUUUCACCCUCUAUCCCCCACGGGAAGACUGACUUGUAUCCGUGAUGCCACCACGGGGUCUUGGGACAAUGCGGAUAACUUUUGGAUGUGACGUCGUGCUAGCAUCCUAGGGGUGGAGGAAAGUCCCUCCUCUCAAGGUGAUACUUAACCCCAAGUCAAUGAAGCACUGUUGCACGUUUUAUCUGCCGUGGUAGUUUCUUAUGUUGGUUGGAGCAUAAGAACAGUGACGGGACCAGACAUACACAACUGGCAUCGUCAGCCCAUAUUUGACAAGGAUUCAGCUUAACCACAUGCGAUCAUAAACCAAGAUUUUCCUAGGUAAAAAGUUAUGCCCGUUUCUUAAGAUGAAUUGACUUUUCUAUAGGAAUUUUGAGACAAAAUUUUUUUAUUUAUUUUUAUUUUGUAAUUUGGUUGAUUGUUUGGCUUAUUAAUUGAACUGCCCCGGAAACCGUCUUUAUGUACUAGUUUGGUACUGAGGUGCUUUUAUAAAAAAA